AUAUUUAAGAUGUGUUUGAUUGGGUGGAAAAAAGAAGGAUGAGAAGAGAAAGUAGAAAAGUUGAAAGAAAAUAAAAUUGGAGUGCCUUUAGUUAAGAGAAAAAGCGAGAGGAAAUAUAACAGGAGAAGUGACCAUAUUUUAUCCUAAUGUAUAAAAAUUAAUUUUCUAAAUUUAGAAUAAUAAAAGGAAAGAAGAUGAGAGAGAA
rnacentral:lncRNA from 1 species